GAUCCCACCAUUUUAUGGGUGAAUGGCAAAAUCAAACAGAAAUUAUGUGGGAUGGGAGAUACUGAUGCAGCCAUCUUUGGAAACAUUCUACUUAGCUAAUUUUAUGCUAGGCUUUAGGUCAAGAAGGAGAGAGAGAGCUGACAUGCUGUGGUACACACUUAUAGUCCCAGCGACUUGGAAAGCUGAGGCAGGAGGAUUGCUUGAU
rnacentral:lncRNA from 10 species